AUUGAACGCUGGCGGCAGGCCAAACACAUGCAAGUUGAGUGGAGCGUCGGACGGAUGAGUAAUGCCUAUGAAUCUGCCCGGUAGUGGGGGAAAACGUCCGGAUACGGGCGUAAAUACCGCAUAUGAUCAGAUGAGCAUAGGUCGUUUUAGCUAGUUGGUGAGGUAAAGGCCUACCAAGGCGACGAUCCGUAACUGGUCUGAGAGGAUGAUCAGUCGCUCUGGAACUGAGACACGGUCCGGACACCAACGAGAGGCAGCUGUGGGGAAUAUUGAACAAUGGGCAAGAGCCUGAUCCAGCUAUGCCGCAUGUGGGAAGAAGGUCUUCGGAUUGUAAAGCACUGUAAGUUGAGUGGCGUUACCAACUGAAUAGGCGCCGGCUAACUUCGUGCCAGCAGCCGCGGUAAUUC
rnacentral:rRNA from 1 species